CCCCCACGUGACGCGGCCGGGGCGCGGCCGCCAUGACGGGGGGGGCUGAGGCGGCUCGAGAAGAUGGCGAGCGCUGUGGGCAGAGGGCUUGUGGCAGGGUUUUUCGCCCUCUUUUUCUCCUCGAUGAACCGUGCGUGGCUCCGAAGCACCUCAGGGGGUCGGGUUCAGUCUCCCCACCCUGGGGUUAAGAAUGGAGCAGUUCGGCAGGAAGACGAAGAAAGCUGACGAAGAAGCUGAGAGAAAUCAACCACAACAAUGCUGAAAUAACCUGCGCGUGGCAGUUAAAGCACACCUACCGGGACAAGAGUUGACAUCCUGCCAGGUGGAAAGGAGUGUUGAACCCUCAGAUCUUUCAGAUCCAGAGGAAAAGUGAUCUAACCACUGAUUUUCAGACAAAAGAGUGGUGGGGCAGCUUCACCACUCACCUGUAUUUGUGCAGAACCUGACUUGGCAGGUGUCCUUUGAGGAGUGAUGCUGGAAGGCAUCUUGAGUUUGUAAACCCUGGCAAGGUUUAGGAAUGAACUAAGUGUUGACUUCCUCAGCAUAGUCAGGACUGGAAGCUUUUCUGAGUAUACCCACAUGCAAAAACUUGAGCUGCCUGCAUCUUUUGCUUGCUGCUGAAUGACAUUUUGAGGAUGACAGGUUUUAUUUUAGUGAAGUGCAAAUUAAACAACGUUGACGCACCUGAGUCCAUUGUUUGGAGCAUAUUGGCCCUGGUAUUCAGACAUUACAACAAGGUGCUUCAUAAUAACACAAACAGAACAGAAUAACAGAACUUGUCAAAAAAAACUGUAGCUACAGCAUUGAAGUACAGGGACCAAAAGGGCAGCAUGUAAUCAGAAGCUCCAGUAAGAGAAAAAAAGGAGUGACAGUCCAUGGAAGGGUUAGCUGGCAGAUGGCAAGGAGGCAGCAGUGAUCAAGAUGAAAGUAAUAUGUGCAAUUAAAUGAGAUAGCCAUAUAGUUAGCAUCUCCAUCAGCCAGCUUCUCAUAAUUCCUAUUUCAUAAUGGCUAAUAUACAGCUUUGAUCUCUCAUUCGUAAUAAUUUAGCCUGAGGAUUGUAGGUGUGUGUUAAGCUGUUUUAAGUAAAAGCAGCCUCAGUGCAUAUGCUAUCUUCUUUCUGCAGAAUGAUUAUCCUUGUAGUCCUUCUAGUUUGGACAGUUCUUCCCUACCCUGUAAUUCCAGGUAUUUAAUCUACCCAAAUAGCUAUUUUAGUUCUUACUGAAAAGAUGUUCCUUGGUGCCUGGAUUAUCAUUUUAUUAACAAUUAAUAAACUGCUACUUCUUAGUGUCAUUCACUAUAAGGACUUUGAGACAUAUGUCAUUUCUCAAAAUCACUGAUAAUGAUAAUCUUUCCAGCCCAAUUGUUUAAUAUGCUCUACAAUAAGUCAUUAGUUUAACUAAUUGCUCCACUUCCUAUAUGUUCACAGCAAAGGACAAGAAUUCAUAUAAAAAUGCUGGCUAGAAAUAGCAACCCAAAGUAAUACUCUGUCAGUACGGCUUACAGUCAGAAUUUGGGAUCCAUAAGUACUCAAGCACUGAAAUUUCAUUUAUUAAAUGUUCCUUCUGUUGGCACAUCUUGGACACAGAAAUGAUAUGAGGAAGAGACACUGAGCUACAAAAGAUAUUCUGUACGUCCUGUCUAAUUUCUUAAAUUGUCUCUUCUACUUUAUGAAAAAGAAGAGGAAUAUCCCCAGAUAGAAUUAUAUUAUAUUAUUCUUCUAAAUCCAAAUUAUUCAGAACAAAGUUGACCAGCUGUGAUAGAGGAGGCUGGAGGAAACACCAACUGUUCUUUUAAUAACUGGGAUAAAUUGCAUUUGUUU